GCCUUAAAGCUCUGCCCUAGUUUCUAGUUCUACACAUCCCACCAUCGGUGUACUCCUCCGUAGCACUACCCGUCGAGUAAAUCUGUGUUUUGGGAAAACACAGAUUGUAGGUCUGCUCUAGUUUUCAAUCUCCCUUAUUUUCGAAUCUCAGGUUCAAUAUGAAACCAUUAAAGACUGAGGAUAAGGUGGGGUCGACUGUGAAGACUACUACCAAAUAUGCAUUCGUCGCGCCAGGUGCUAGAGGUGCUAUAGGAAAGGAACGAGGACGAGGAGUUACUUUUGGCUCUUUUGCUACGUCUUUUAUCUCUUUGAGAUGGAUAUCAAAGUUCUUUUUGAACUGCUUCAAUAUUAUUUUAACCAGGUUGAUCAGUUAAUAUGCUGCAAAUUUUCUUGACACUUGUUAUAUCCGCUCCUUCCUUGGUAAAACUGUUACGUUACAAAGCACCAUAUAAGUUGGAUCAAGAGCACCAUCUAAACCCAUGUUUUGAUUCGCUGCUCAACAAUCACAAGUCCCCCCCUACGACAUCACCCGUUUCAACUGAAUGACCAUUGUUUUUGUCUGCUGACCAGGUUAGUAACAAUAUGCCUGACUUUUUAAUUAUUAUUUUUUUACCUAUUGAAGUUGAUAAUUUAAAUUACGUUGGGUGAUUCUUUUAUUGAACAUUGUUCAGUGGGAGGCUUCUUUGAAGAAUUUUACCCUCCCCUCUUUCGUUAGGUACCUCUUCUUCAAUGUAUAUAGUGAGUAAAAUUUGUGUACUACCUCUACUACUAAUUCACAAAUGGUAUUUCCUGUUGUAUUUUAAGUCUUAAUGGUAUUAUGUAUGGUUUCCUUAUUAGAUGUUUUUAGAAAUUCCUAUCAAUACAUAAAAGAGCAAUUUAAAACAGAUGGAAAAAAACCUUAUUGUUGUUAACUCUUGUUGCCUUUUUAUGUGUUUCCAGUUUAACUUUUGUGAUCCCUUAUCCUAACCAAAUGAUGGAACUUGUCUUUAUCUAUAGUUAACUUAGUUGCAGAGAGGAAAUGGAACAAAUGGAGAGGAUACUUGCAUGCACAAUAUGUGAAAAAUAAUCCAAUCCAACAGGCUCUUAAGAAUAUGCCAAAGGGAGUAGAUAAGAAAGAAUGGGAGUGGUUAGUAAAAGAAAAUUUUACUUCAGAAAGUUUUCAGGUAUGUCUAGUGAUUUACUAGUCUAUUUCACCCAAUAAUGUAUAGCCUUAGAAGAUGAGAUGAAAGAAAUUAAGAAAAUAAAAGAAUUCUUUGCCGCUCAACAAUCAUAUACCCCGCCUACGACAUCGCCUGGUUCAACUGAAUGACCACUGUUUUUGUCUGCUAACCAAGUUAGUAAUAAUAUACCCGACUUUUUAAUUUAGUUUGUUGAUUUGCGUAUAGUCAAUUUCUAUCUUACACUAAUUCUAGCAGUUGCUUGACUUCACCACUAAUGAUGCUUGUUUCUAGCUCCGUACAUGCUCUAAAAGAUUGCUAUUGCUCCGUGAUCUGUUUGACAUGUGUGUUUGUCAUUUCUGUUUUUUACCUUGUUUCUCUAGCAUAUCAGAUCUCUUUCAGCUUAUUUGUGAUACCUGGUCAUGGUUGGGCUGUAUUUGAAAUCUAAUCUUUAAUAUAAGUGGUGAUGCCUUAAAUUCUUGUGUGCAAAAUUAAGAAGUGCAUACAGGAGUACUGAAGAGUUUUAAUUAAGUCAGUUACAGCUUUACAGUGCAAAAUAAAUGCUUUUAUUGAAGAAUUUUGAGGAAGACUGAUAGCCUUCUUUUAUGGUUCGCGUCUGCUGCAUCUUUAAGUUCAAAGUUCGUUUAUUCUUUUAUAUAUAGUUGGUGCUACUGUUAUCCUUUUCACAGUUCCUAUAUAUUUGUGCCAAUUUUGGUUCAAAGUCUAUAACAUUUGCUGUUUGCUUCAGAUAAACAUAAUAGUAAUUUUACUAUUUAAACUUCGGUUAUAAAGAUAGCAAACAGAACCGUGAACACCCUUAGCUCUAGCUCUAAAUCUAAGGAAUUACUAUUAAUGAAAGUGGAAUUGCUGCUAUGAUGUUGGAAAAAGCUUUAUUGAAGGUAGAUAAAAAAUAAUUUUCUACCAAAUAGAAAAAGUCUUAUUGUUGUUAAAUCUUGUUGCCUAUAUAUGUGUUUCCAGUUUAGUUUUUGUAAUGCCUGGUUUGGAACCAUAAAGAGUUCAAAGUCUCACUUGAUUUGGAAUACUUCUUGAUUUACAAGAGACUUUAGUAGAAGUUUAAAAGUAUUAACACCUAUAAUCGAUGGAAUUUUUUUUAGUUGGGAACAUAUAAUAGAUGGUAUUGCCACUGGUAAAUUUUUUUGAGGCUUUGCAAGAAUACCUUAUUGUUGUUGUUUCUGAGUAAUUGCCUUAAGAAUACCUCCUGUUGUUGCUACUGCUUGCAAAUUUCCACCUGAAGCCUGAAUUUGUGAAUAGCACUAAGCUGAACCAACUGACUAGUACCAUGUAUUUUACCACCUGUAGGAGUGCCAUCAUGUUUCUUAGUAUUGGAUUGCUUUUUACAGUGAGAACUUGCCUUUGGAGUUGCAUUAUCCUUGUGCAACUCCAGCCCUGCAGUUCUAUUGGGAUCUUGAUAUGCAAAAGAUAUGUCAACCUCCUGCUCCUUGUGCUGCUGCUUUUGUGUAUUGUCAUCAGUAUGCUAUAUGACUUUUAAUAGGUAUUUUUGUUGUUGUUUUGCAUAAACUGGUGUUGCAUCAUGUUUUAUCUAAUUUGUUACCAGCGAAUGAUAAAUGCAGUUCAGGCAGCUAGCUACUAAAGCUUAAUCAUAUGCUUCCACCAUCUCUUUCAAUCGAACUUAUGUAAAAUCACUUUCUUACUGCUUAACUGUUUGACAAGUACUCAAGGGAUUUUGUGAAACUCAUUCACUUGCAAGUUGCAAAGCUUAAAGUUCGAUAUUAAGAUCUAUGAUGAUCAAUGUGCAUUUAGAUAGUAUUAAAGAAAUCGAGAAAGUUCACAAGGAAAGUACACUUUUAACCCUAUCCUCUAUGCUUUAUUCCUUCUAUGCAAUUUAGUAGUCUUUUCCUAUCUAUGAAUAUGAAUAGGACAGAUAAACUUUCAUCUAUUCGAAGGGUGGAACUGAUAGUGUUCAUUUCGUUGAAGGUUAACUUAGUUGAUGACUUCAACAUACUACAAAAAUACACUUGAUAAGAGGAAAAAAACUUACUACACAACGCUUGUCUGAAGCCAGAUUAACUCAUCUGGUCAGUGGUCAGUUUGAUGUUACUUCAAAGUCAUGCAUCAUUCAGUUAUAUCUUGCAGAGAGAUCUGAUGAUUCGUUAUGCCAUUAGGAGAUGGCGUAGGUUUAUACUGAAUAUGUAGAAAGCAAUUUCUGAUUGAUCAGACUAAGUAGUUUUCAGUUUAGAAUUUAAACGCAGUCGCUUGUUCUGUUGUUCAUGCAACUGCAGUUUCUCUUCCCUUUUUUAUUUUGGUGCGAGUUGUUAAGACUGAUGAAAUGCUCUAUUCGGAAUUGAAGCACAUACGAAGUUGCGACAGCUUUUGCGUUGGCUCUAGGAGCCGAAAAACUAAUUUGUAUUAUAGACUGCCUAAUUCUUGAUGAGUCUAGCCGUCUGAUUCGUUUCGUAACUCUAUAAGAUGCUGAUAUGCUGGUCCGCAAAUGAGCUGAGCAAAGUGAGACUGCUGCUAAUUAUGUAAAAGCAGUUAGUCAGGAGGACUUCAAUCGUUUAGGUUACAAUGGUUCCAACGGAUCGCUCCCUUCCCAAAAUGGCAAUGGUUAUAGCCGAAUAUACAAUCCUACAUUUCAGAAUGGCAUUGGUUUUGACAAUGGUAAUGGGCUUUGGUCUAGUGAACAAGGUUUUGCAAUUGGAGGACAAGAGAAACUAAGUCGGUCAAAUGGUUAUCUCUCAGAAUUAGCUGCUGCUGUUUUUGUUUGCCGAGGAGGUGUUCAAAGAGUGCACCUGCUGGAUGGCACUAUUGGUGGAGUUUUACUAAAGGAAUUGUUCCAAAGAGAUGGAGUUGGUUCAAUGGUUGCUAGGUUUUGAAGAUUGAAUUUGACAAGUCAAGAUGGAAGUUUAGAAGAUGCAGAAACCCAUUAUUUAGCUAGGAAUGUUAUGCACUCGCUAUCUUAGUCUAUCUCGAGUGUUAAGCGAUGUUUUUUGUUAAGGUGUCGAGCAAAUAUUGAAACUAACAUCAUGGGAUGUUAACAAUUUUAUUGUAAUUAAUAACUCUAUCUUCCUCUUUAUAUAUAUAACGCUUUUGUAUCUAGAUGUUUUAGUAGGAAUCCGAUAUUUAUUGAUAAAAUAAUUUUUUUGUGA